AAGUUGAAAAGAACUUUGAAGAGAGAGUUCAAGAGUACGUGAAACCGUUCAGGGGUAAACCUGAGAAACCCAAAAGAUCGAAUGGGGAGACUCAUCGCCAGCAAAGUUGGCUUCCGUGCGGCUCGCGAUGGCCGGGACUUCGGUCCAGUGUCACGCGUCCGCUGCGGUAUGUCUGACUUCGUCGGCGUGCACUUCUCCCCUAGUAGGACGUCGCGACCCGUUGGGUGCCGGUCAACGGCCCGAUAGGUCGACUGUCGCGUCGCGUUCACGCGCGCUCGCGUCAGACCAUCGGUCGCCCGGCCGGCUGCUCGGCGGUAUUAAUCGCUAAUAUUAAACGGUAUUGGGCCGCAUUAAGUGCGUUCUGGCUCGUCGGCAGGCUCGUCUCGCUCGGAUUUACGGACCUAGUUGCCGUUGCCGGGUGCUUGGCGUGGCCGUUAGUCGGCGAUGUCCUCGGACUGGCUCUUAUAUUCGAACGGAUAUACCGGUCGGCGACGCUACUGCUUUGGGUACUUUCAGGACCCGUCUUGAAACACGGACCAAGGAGUCUAACAUGUACGCGAGUCAUUGGGACUUGUAAAACCUAAAGGCGCAAUGAAAGUGAAGGUCGGCCUUAGUGUCGACCGAGGGAGGAUGGCUCAGUUAUAAACUGGGCCCGCACUCCCGGGG
rnacentral:rRNA from 1 species